AUUGAACGCUGGCGGCAGGCCUAACACAUGCAAGUCGAGCGGAUGACAGGAGCUUGCUCCUGGAUUCAGCGGCGGACGGGUGAGUAGUGCCUAGGAAUCUGCCUGGUAGUGGUGGACAACGUUUCGAAAGGAACGCUAAUACCGCAUACGUCCUACGGGAGAAAGCAGGGGACCUUCGGGCCUUGCGCUAUCAGAUGAGCCUAGGUCGGAUUAGCUAGUUGGUGAGGUAAUGGCUCACCAAGGCGACGAUCCGUAACUGGUCUGAGAGGAUGAUCGGUCACACUGGAACUGAGACACGGUCCAGACUCCUACGGGAGGCAGCAGUGGGGAAUAUUGGACAAUGGGCGAAAGCCUGAUCCAGCCAUGCCGCGUGUGUGAAGAAGGUCUUCGGAUUGUAAAGCACUUUAAGUUGGGAGGAAGGGCAUUAACCUAAUACGUUAGUGUUUUGACGUUACCGACAGAAUAAGCACCGGCUAACUCUGUGCCAGCAGCCGCGGUAAUACAGAGGGUGCAAGCGUUAAUCGGAAUUACUGGGCGUAAAGCGCGCGUAGGUGGUUUGUUAAGUUGGAUGUGAAAGCCCCGGGCUCAACCUGGGAACUG
rnacentral:rRNA from 1 species